GAUGAACGCUGGCGGCGUGCCUAAUACAUGCAAGUCGAGCGAACAGACGAGGAGCUUGCUCCUCUGACGUUAGCGGCGGACGGGUGAGUAACACGUGGAUAACCUACCUAUAAGACUGGGAUAACUUCGGGAAACCGGAGCUAAUACCGGAUAAUAUAUUGAACCGCAUGGUUCAAUAGUGAAAGACGGUUUUGCUGUCACUUAUAGAUGGAUCCGCGCCGCAUUAGCUAGUUGGUAAGGUAACGGCUUACCAAGGCAACGAUGCGUAGCCGACCUGAGAGGGUAAUCGGCCACACUGGAACUGAGACACGGUCCAGACUCCUACGGGAGGCAGCAGUAGGGAAUCUUCCGCAAUGGGCGAAAGCCUGACGGAGCAACGCCGCGUGAGUGAUGAAGGUCUUCGGAUCGUAAAACUCUGUUACUAGGGAAGAACAAAUGUGUAAGUAACUAUGCACGUCUUGACGGUACCUAAUCAGAAAGCCACGGCUAACUACGUG
rnacentral:rRNA from 1 species